UAUUGCACAAUGGGCGCAAGCCUGAUGCAGCCAUGCCGCGUGUGUGAAGAAGGCCUUCGGUUUGUAAAGCACUUUCAGCGGGGAGGAAGGCGUUAAGGUUAAUAACCUUGGCGAUUGACGUUACCCGCAGAAGAAGCACCGGCUAACUCAGUGCAAGCAGCCGCGGUAAUACGGAGGGUGCAAGCGUUAAUCGGAAUUACUGGGCGUAAAGCGCACGCAGGCGGUCUGUCAAGUCGGAUGUGAAAUCCCCGGGCUCAACCUGGGAACUGCAUUCGAAACUGGCAGGCUAGAGUCUUGUAGAGGGGGGUAGAAUUCCAGGUGUAGCGGUGAAAUACGUAGAGAUCUGGAGGAAUACCGGUGGCGAAGGCGGCUCCCUGGACAAAGACUGACGCUCAGGUGCGAAAGCGUGGGGAGCAAACAG
rnacentral:rRNA from 1 species